rnacentral:tRNA from 2 species
GGGCUCAUAGCUCAGCGGUAGAGCGCUCGCAUGGCAUGCGAGAGGCUGGGGGUUCGAAUCCCCCUGAGUCCA